GUCUUAUUAGAAUUGCUUACACAGAGCUCCUGAAGAACAAGUCUUCUGAUGAUUACAAGAAGCUGGAGAAAGAAGUGAAGUUAACUCUAAACAAGAUGUUAUCCAGCUAUGAGAACUUUCUCAAAGCAAACAUUCUCCAGUUCUUGAAUGGCUCCAUUAUUGUUGAGAGUGAGGUUCUAUUCCAGA